rnacentral:rRNA from 1 species
AUUGAACGCUGGCGGCAUGCCUUACACAUGCAAGUCGAACGGCAGCACGGGUGCUUGCACCUGGUGGCGAGUGGCGAACGGGUGAGUAAUACAUCGGAACAUGUCCUGUAGUGGGGGAUAGCCCGGCGAAAGCCGGAUUAAUACCGCAUACGAUCUACGGAUGAAAGCGGGGGACCUUCGGGCCUCGCGCUAUAGGGUUGGCCGAUGGCUGAUUAGCUAGUUGGUGGGGUAAAGGCCUACCAAGGCGACGAUCAGUAGCUGGUCUGAGAGGACGAUCAGCCACACUGGGACUGAGACACGGCCCAGACUCCUACGGGAGGCAGCAGUGGGGAAUUUUGGACAAAGGGCGAAAGCCUGAUCCAGCAAUGCCGCGUGUGUGAAGAAGGCCUUCGGGUUGUAAAGCACUUUUGUCCGGAAAGAAAUCCUUGGCCCUAAUACGGUCGGGGGAUGACGGUACCGGAAGAAUAAGCACCGGCUAACUACGUG